GACGAACGCUGGCGGCGCGCCUAACACAUGCAAGUCGAACGAGAGAUGAGGAGCUUGCUCUUCAGAUCGAGUGGCGAACGGGUGAGUAACGCGUGAGGAACCUGCCUCAAAGAGGGGGACAACAGUUGGAAACGACUGCUAAUACCGCAUAAGCCCACGGCUCGGCAUCGAGCAGAGGGAAAAGGAGCAAUCCGCUUUGAGAUGGCCUCGCGUCCGAUUAGCUAGUUGGUGAGGUAACGGCCCACCAAGGCGACGAUCGGUAGCCGGACUGAGAGGUUGAACGGCCACACUGGAACUGAGACACGGUCCAGACUCCUACGGGAGGCAGCAGUGGGGAAUAUUGGUCAAUGGACGAGAGUCUGAUGCAGCGACGCCGCGUGAGCGAAGAAGUAUUCGGUAUGUAAAGCUCUAUCAGCAGGGAAGAAAAAGUGACGGUACCUGACUAAGAAGCCCGGCUAACUACGUG
rnacentral:rRNA from 1 species